GCUCUCUACAUGAGCAUAAAUAUUAAAAUUAAAACACUUCAGAAAUAUUAACAUGGCUCCUAUGCAAGGAUCACACACAUAUUUGUAAAACAUUCCAUAUUUUU